rnacentral:misc_RNA from 1 species
UUUCCGUAGGUGAACCUGCGGAAGGAUCAUUAAUGAGUUGUCAUGGGGUUCGAUGCUGGCAGCCAAUUUUUGGAUGCAUGUGCUUGCCCUAACAAUCAUCUUCCAAACACCUGUGCACAUUUGUGAGGGAGUCUUGAGUUGGUUGCCGCUCUUGGGUGAUUUUCUCACAUUCCCUUAAAUCAUUAUACGCUAUUAACAAUGUUGAACGUGCUCUGUGCCGCAAGGCUAUUAAUAUAAUACAACUUUUAACAACGGAUCUCUUGGCUCUC